UCUUGUAGAUUGGACUUGCUAACGACUGUGCUUCUCAAUUUUUUUUUUCACCUCUUAUUAGCCAUGGAAGUGACGAUCCAAUCACCACUACCAUUGAGUUGAUAACUAGACAACCCCAUGGCCCCAUUCCCACAAUCUCUGAUUUUUGAAGUUUGUGAACUUUGAAAGCUUUUGAUAACUGUAAAUCUCCAUAAAGCCAUUAAAAUCUCUCUUUCUCAGCAGCCCUUGUCGCGUUUCUUUAUAACUGUUCUUUAUUGGAUACUAUUUAGUAAUAGUUGUUGCAGACUGUUGUUGUAGUUACGCUUGUUUGGAACUUCAAAAGCAGAAAUGAUUCUUUUCUCCUUCUACAAGACUCUCUGAAGAUUUCCCUGUUCCUGAUUUCCGUCUUCCUUUUCUGGGCUUUUGUGUUCAUUUUGUACCUGUCAAGAACCACUUGGGCUUGCUUUAGCAUUUUUAAUCUCCAACUGUUCGAGGCCUACCCAGAGUUAAUGCUGCGGGUAAGUCUUCUUUAGUUAGUUAGUUCUUAGAACCAACCCUAUUUCAUCUUUAGCUACUACUUCUCUGGGUUCCUUUUACUUUUCCCAAAAAUUGAACCUAUCCAUGUGGGUUCUUCUUCUUUCUUUCACUCCAAUACAGUUGCUGCAUGUGGACUUUCCAAUUUGUAUUUUGUAUUUUGAAAUAAUUUAAUGCAAAUAAUAGUACAAGGGUAUCAGGAAUCAAGAGAAUUUUUUGAGUCAAAACCUUUUAUUUAAUCAUUGAUGUGCACUUGGUCAUACAGUUCUGGAUGCUUUCUUAUACUUCUAAACAGAAAUCAAGUACCCAGUUUAGUAUGUUCUUCCAACUUCCCAAGUCUUCUAACCCAGUUUCCCCCAGUUGGGUAUUGUUGUUCCUAUUCUAACUGGUACCUGCAAUUUAUUUUGCUUGGUUCUUCCUCUUUCUUCCUUUUUUUUGGCUUCUUAUGUGGGUACUGAAAGUUUUCUAAGGUUAUUGUUAUUCCUAUUCUAAUUGUAUCUGCAAAUUUUUUCCUUGGUUUCUGGAUUCUACCCAAGAUGCAGUAGAUCUGUUACAGUAGAAGCAAUGCUGGUUUAAUCAAAGGCAUCAACUGCAGAUAAAAAUAAAGUUCCCUUCGUGGACCUCCAUCAGAUUAGUAUCUCUGGUUAUCUCUUCAUCAUGAGAUUGUUUCAGUUGUUGCUUUUUUGUUUGUUGAUGACCAUUGAAGUUCAGGGGGGAAUUCGAAAUUUAGGAUCUUCUUCAAGGCCACGCGUUGUGAAUGUGGGAGCUCUAUUCACUUUCAAUUCGACCAUUGGAAAGGUGGCAAAGCCAGCAAUUGAAGCUGCUGUUGAUGAUGUUAAUUCAGAUUUAAGCAUUCUUGUGGGGACAACACUGAAUGUUAUCAUGCAGGACACAAAUUGCAGUGGAUUUAUUGGAACCAUAGGAGCUUUUCAGAUGAUGGAGAAAGAUGUGGUUGCAGUAAUUGGUCCCCAAUCUUCAGGAAUAGCUCAUAUCAUCUCUCAUGUUGUUAAUGAACUCCAUGUACCACUUCUUUCAUUUGCAGCCACAGAUCCCACUCUUGCUGCACUACAAUACUCAUACUUCCUCCGUACUACACAAAGUGACUAUUUCCAGAUGUAUGCAAUAGCAGAUAUGGUUGAAUAUUAUGGAUGGAGAGAGGUAAUUGCCAUCUUUGUGGAUGAUGAUUAUGGGAGAGGUGGGAUAUCUGUGCUGGAUGAUGCCCUUGCGAAAAAGCGUUCAAAGAUAUCCUACAAAGCUCCCUUUACUCCAGGGGCCAACAAAAGUGCAAUCGAUGAUCUGUUAGUUGGGGUAAAUCUGAUGGAGUCUCGGGUUUAUGUUGUACAUGUUAAUCCAGAUUCUGGUCUAACAAUUUUCUCUGUUGCAAAGUCUCUUGGAAUGAUGACUACCGGCUAUGUGUGGAUUGCAACAGAUUGGCUUCCUUCUGUUUUGGAUUCAUCAGAACCAGUUGACCCUGGCACAAUGGAUCUCUUGCAAGGGGUUAUUGCCCUCCGUCAUCAUACACCAGAUUCUGAUCUCAAAAAGAAUUUUACAUCUCGGUGGAGUAAUUUACAGCGCAAAGGGAUUGCCACCUCUAGCUUGAAUUCUUAUGGACUCUAUGCUUAUGAUUCUGUUUGGUUAGUUGCUCAUGCUCUUGAUGAGUUCCUUAAUAAGGGAGGGAAUAUUUCUUUCUCAAGUGAUCCGAACUUGCAUGAUACAAAUGGAAGCUCAAUACAUUUAACGUCACUCCAUUUAUUUGAAGGAGGUCAGCAGUUCCUUCAGAAGCUCACUAUGAUGAACUUUACAGGUUUGACUGGCCAGUUUCAAUUUGAUCCAGAGAAGAAUUUGAUCCAUCCAGCGUAUGAUAUUAUUAACAUUGGUGGGACUGGGUUUCGCCGGGUUGGAUAUUGGUCAAAUUAUUCGCAUCUCUCAGUUGUUGCUCCAGAGAUCUUAUAUAACAAGCCCUCAAACAUUUCUACCAGAAGCCAACAGCUUUACAGCGUAAUAUGGCCUGGAGAAACUACGCGAACACCACGUGGGUGGGUGUUUCCGAACAAUGGGCAACCAUUGAGGAUUGGGGUUCCUAAUCGAGUAACUUACAAGCAAUUUGUAGCAAAGGAUAAUGGUCCCAAUGGGGCGAGGGGUUUCUGCAUUGACGUCUUUGAAGCCGCUGUGGGCUUGUUGCAGUAUCCUGUUCCACACACGUACAUAUUAUAUGGGAAUGGUACUAGGAACCCUAGUUAUGAUGAGCUUGUGACUAUGGUCUCCGAAAAUAAAUUUGAUGCAGCUGUUGGAGAUAUAACCAUUGUUACAAAUAGGACAAGACUUGUGGAUUUCACCCAGCCUUACAUUGAAUCUGGCCUUACUGUUGUUGUUCCUGUAAAAGAGAUGAAAUCCAGUGCUUGGGCUUUCUUAAAGCCAUUUACAGUUCAAAUGUGGUUAGUCACUGGUGCUUUCUUUUUGUUCGUGGGAGCUGUUGUUUGGAUUCUUGAACAUCGGAUUAAUGCUGAAUUCCGUGGUCCACCAAGGCAACAGCUUGUAACAGUAUUUUGGUUUAGCUUCUCUACAAUGUUUUUUUCCCACAGGGAGAACACUGUCAGUUCCCUUGGACGUUUUGUUGUGCUCAUAUGGCUCUUUGUAGUACUUAUUAUCAACUCAAGCUACACAGCUAGCUUGACAUCCAUCCUCACAGUUCAGCAGUUGUCAUCACGGAUCGAAGGGAUCGACAGCUUGAUUUCAAGCAACGACCCUAUAGGUAUUCAGGAUGGGUCAUUUGCUAGGAACUAUUUGAUUGAAGAGCUUAACAUUGCAGAAUCCAGGAUCGUGACCCUAAAAAAUGAGGAUGAGUAUUUAGAUGCUCUUCAGCGUGGACCCAAGAAUGGCGGGGUUGCUGCUAUUGUUGAUGAACUUCCUUACAUUGAGGUUUUCCUGUCUGACAACAACUGCAAAUUCCAGACUGUGGGGCAAGAGUUCACAAAAAGUGGAUGGGGUUUUCUCCAUUAUUGAUACCCAUGUGGUGUUGAUUGAUAAUUAAACUCACAAAUGCAAGUAUUUUGGGUGUAAGUUAAAUUUCCAAUUCAAUUCUUCCAUUUUAGAUCCUUCUACAGAAGUUUUUUUAUUUUUUAGGCUGAUUGAAUUCCAUACUGAUUUUGUAUGGGAAAAUGGAAGGCACUACAAGAAAGAUAUACUCCUUUUCAAAUCGCCCCGCGAAGACGGGCGUUCAGAAAGGUUCUCGAGAUUCUCAAUUGUCCAGGUGUGCGGGAAGGGAGCGAGACCAAGCCGAGCCAGACGGAGAGCAUUCCAAAGGGACUCUCCUCUUGCAGUGGACUUAUCAACAGCAAUCCUUAGACUCUCAGAGAAUGGUGAUCUCCAAAGGAUGCAUGAUAAAUGGUUGUCACUUAAUGCCUGUUCAGGACAAACCAACUCAGCAG